UACGAAGGGGGCGAGCGUUGUUCGGAUUUACUGGGCGUAAAGGGCGCGUAGGCGGCCCUCUUUGUCGCGUGUGAAAGCCCCGGGCUCAACCUGGGAAUGGCGCGCGAAACGGGGGGGCUUGAGUUCGGGAGAGGAGCGUGGAAUUCCCAGUGUAGAGGUGAAAUUCGUAGAUAUUGGGAGGAACACCGGUGGCGAAGGCGGCGCUCUGGACCGAGACUGACGCUGAGGCGCGAAAGCGUGGGGAGCAAACAGG
rnacentral:rRNA from 1 species